rnacentral:rRNA from 1 species
GAUGAACGCUAGCGGCAGGCUUAAUACAUGCAAGUCGAGGGGCAGCAGGGAUAGCAAUAUUCGCUGGCGACCGGCGCACGGGUGCGUAACACGUAUACAAUCUGCCUUUUACAGGGGGAUAGCCUUUCGAAAGAGAGAUUAAUACCCCAUAAUAGUUGACCGGGCAUCUGGUUGAUUUGAAAGCUCCGGCGGUAAGAGAUGAGUAUGCGCCUGAUUAGCUAGUAGGUGAGGUAACGGCUCACCUAGGCUACGAUCAGUAGGGGAUCCUGAGAGGACUAACCCCCACACGGAUACUGAGACACGGAUCCGACUCCUACGGGAGGCAGCAGUAAGGAUAUUGGACAAUGCCCGCAAGGGUGAUCCAGCCAUGCCGCGUGCAGGAGAAGGCCCUAUGGGUCGUAAACUGCUUUUACACCGGAGAAAACCUCCCCUCGUGAGGGGAGCUGAUAGUACGGUGAGAAUAAGCAUCGGCUAACUUCGUGCCAGCAGCCG